UUAAAAGAAAGAUGAUAACAUCAUCUUUUUCCUUCUAUACCAGCCGACCAUAAAAAGGGGGAGAAGGUUCUCCACAUUUCUUCAUCUUUUUCUUUACUCAUUUCUCUUACUACUAAUUCUCACCAUUUUUCAUCACUUUCCAUCAAUUUCUUUUAAAUCCAUCAUCAUUAAACCUUUAUUGAGCAUUAUCCCUCAUAAUUUCCAUCAUUCAAGUGUUUUAAGGUUUGAGCCCUAAUGUGAGAAAAUGUAAUAGGAAGUUGAAAAGAGAAAUUGAAGAAUGAAAGGAGGGUGCUUGCAAGGGAAAGGAAAAGCUUGUUAAUUAAGUAGGUCUUCUGAAUCAAAGCUCGGUGCUUUUUGAGAAUCACAAGCAAACACCAUUAUCAACAUUGAAUGGUAUGAAAUAUUUGUAUUUGCAAUUGAUACCUAGUGGCAUGUACUAGAAAACUCAUUUAGGGAUGCAUAUAUAAAUGUUUCAUAUAACUAUUAGUUGUAAUAGUUCUAAUUUGUUUAUUUUUUAUUGACCUUGAGCCAAACUUUAUAUCUUUUGAAUGUAUGUAUACAAGCCUUGGUUUUCCAUGCUUUAGAUUGAUUUUGUAUAGGUUUAACAGGCUAGCUUAAUAUCUUGGUUGUUAUGACAUGUUAUACCUCAUUUUGAACAUGUUAUAUGAGCGUAGAUUGCGACUUUUGAUCUA